rnacentral:rRNA from 1 species
GACGAACGCUGGCGGCGUGCUUAACACAUGCAAGUCGAACGGAAAGGCCCUGCUUGCAGGGUACUCGAGUGGCGAACGGGUGAGUAACACGUGGGUGAUCUGCCCUGCACUUCGGGAUAAGCCUGGGAAACUGGGUCUAAUACCGGAUAGGAGCCAUUUUUAGUGUGAUGGUUGGAAAGUUUUUUCGGUGUAGGAUGAGCUCGCGGCCUAUCAGCUUGUUGGUGGGGUAAUGGCCUACCAAGGCGGCGACGGGUAGCCGGCCUGAGAGGGUGGACGGCCACAUGGGGACUGAGAUACGGCCCAGACUCCUACGGGAGGCAGCGGUGGGGAAUAUUGCACAAUGGGCGCAAGCCUGAUGCAGCGACGCCGCGUGGGGGAUGCCGGCCUUCGGGUUGUAAACUCCUUCGCUAGGGACGAAGCUUUUUGUGACGGUACCUAGAUAAGAAGCACCGGCUAACUACGUG